rnacentral:lncRNA from 1 species
AACCAACAUCCAACCCACAUUGUCCACAAAAGCCUCUACAACCAAAAUAUCAACUAAUCGGUACAUUCGUCAGACUAUGAAAACAGUAUCCAAAAAUGAAAUACAAAGUUAAUAAAGAAUCCAGCGAAAUAACAAGGCCUUUUGAAAGAAUGAAGUCUCACCACUUCAAAGCAGAUCCACAAAAAUCUUGAGUCACCUAACGAUGUACAUGAGCUAUAGAAAACCCUUCGGA